GGUCUUGUAGCCGAGUGGAUAGCGGCGCAAGUAUUAUGUCGCAUGACAUAAGCUGGUAAUCCUUGGUUCGAAUCCCAGCAGGGCCU